AUGGGAUUCCAUUUGGAUUUAGCUUGCACAAUCUUUCGUUAUUUUGUAUUUCUGAACUUUUUAGAAAGAACUGGCCAUAUCAGCAAGCUUUUAAUUCUUUUCCAAAAUUUGUUAUGUAAUUUUCUAACUGAUUUUGUUCUAUUAUUUUCUGAGCUGGAAGUUAAUUUUUCACGAAUUUGUAUUUUUGUUGGGAAUUCUUAUUUGAAAUUCUAUUUUCAGCUUGGCGCGCAUGCAUCAUUUCCACUAGCAACUUGUGCAGGGUAUGCUGGAGAGGAAUAA